rnacentral:misc_RNA from 1 species
GAAAUGCGAUAAGUAGUGUGAAUUGCAGAAUUCAGUGAAUCAUCGAAUCUUUGAACGCACAUUGCGCCCCUUGGUAUUCCAUGGGGCAUGCCUGUUCGAGCGUCAUUUGUACCCUCAAGCUCUGCUUGGUGUUGGGUGUUUGUCCCGUCUCCGCGCGUGGACUUGCCCCAAAGUGAUUGGCAGCCGGCGUACUGGUCCCGGAGCGCAGCACAUGUCGCGCAAACGAGUGCCUUGGUACGGCGGCGUCCAUAAGCCCCUCUCUCACGCUCUUGACCUCGGAUCAGGUAGGGAUACCCGCUGAACUUAAGC